CCCAAGUAGCUGGGACCACAGGCACCUACUACCAUGCCCAGGACUCAUGUGAUUAUACUGAACUGACCCAGAUAACCCAGGAUAAUUCACAUCUCAAGACCCUUAAACUUGAUGACGUCUGCAAAGUCCCUUUUGCCAUAAGGUUAUAUUGGCAUAUGGUCCAGGAAUUAGUGCAGAGCCACAAUCUCAGAAAGAAAAUGAGAGUGGAUAAUGAAGACAGAUCAUCUGGGUGUAAACCUGAGGAUAUUCCAGAAUAUAGAGGUUAGAGAGAUAAGAAAGAAACUAGCAAGGAAACUAAGGAGCAGCCUCUAAGUAGAAGGAAAAGAAUGGUGAGUUGUAAUUGGAGGUGAAGACAGUUUCAAGGGAGGGUAUGUUAAUUGCUGCUGACACAUCAAGGAAGAUGAGGACUGAGCAUUGACCAUUGGAUUUAGCAACAUGGAGUUUUCUGCUGACCUGGACCUGAGCAGUUUUAAUGGAGUGGUGGGGGCAAUGCAUGACAGAAGAGAAUUCAAGACAGAAGGGACUUUUCCAAAAAAAAAAGGUAUACAAAUGGUUAUUGUGCAACGUGGAAAGAUGUUCACCAAUAUUAGUCAUUUAGGAAAUGAAAAUCAAAAGCACAAUGAGUUACCAGUUCACACUCACUCAGAAGGCAAUAAUCAAAGAAAUGGACAAUAGCAAGGGUUGGGAAGGAUAUGGAGAUAUUCUCCCACAUUGCUGGUGGAAUGUAAAAAUGGUGAAGGUGAAGGUGGAAAAACGGAAAUGAAGUAUUGAGAGGGAGAUGGAAUAUAAGAAGCUUUCUGACAGAUAACCCAAUGGAACAAACUGACUGACUGGGCAUCUGAAAUGAGUAAGAAGGAGUCAAAAAUGAGCAAAAUUAUGCUUCUCUGUGGAUGCAAAUCAUAUCUCCAUUACUUACACCCAGGAGAACUUGUAUGAAGUAGUUAACUUCUCUGGAUUUUAGCUUUUUCAUGUGUACAAUGGGGGGUUUAUGCCUCAUAGAGUUGUAGAAACUGCAAAUGAGAGACUUAUGAAAAGCCUACUGAAUGACCUUAUGAAUAAUAAUAUCAUCAGUGGAAGGUGA
rnacentral:lncRNA from 1 species